GACGAACGCUGGCGGCGUGCUUAACACAUGCAAGUCGAACGGACAGGCCCUGCUUGCAGUGUACUCGCGUUGCCAACGGGUGAGUAACACGUGCGUGGUCUGCCCUGCACUUCGGCUUAAGCCUGUGCAACUGGGUCUAAUACCGGCUAGGUGCCAUUUUUAGUGUGAUGGUUGGAAAGUUUUUUCGGUGUAGGCUGAGCUCGCGGCCUAUCAGCUUGUUGGGGGGGUAAUGGCCUACCAAGGCGGCGACGGGUAGCCGGCCUGAGAGGGUGGACGGCGACAUUGGGACUGAGAGGAGGCCCAGACUCCGACGGGAGGCAGAAGGGGGGAAGAUUGAAGAAGGAGCGCAAGCCGGAUGAAGCGGGGCUGCGUGGGGGAUGACGGUCUUAGGGGGGUAGACCACAUGCGCUAGGGACGAAGCUUGUUGUGACGGUACCUAGAUAAGAAGCACCGGCUAACUACGUG
rnacentral:rRNA from 1 species